rnacentral:rRNA from 16 species
UGCCUUAGUAACGGCGAGUGAAGCGGCAACAGCUCAAAUUUGAAAGCUGGCUCCUUCGGAGUCCGCAUUGUAAUUUGUAGAGGAUGAUUCGGCGAGGGCUCCCGCCUAAGUCCACUGGAACGUGGCGUCAUAGAGGGUGAGAAUCCCGUAUGCGGUGGGUUGCCUUAGCCAUGUGAAUCUCCUUCGACGAGUCGAGUUGUUUGGGAAUGCAGCUCUAAAUGGGAGGUAAAUUUCUUCUAAAGCUAAAUACCGGCCAGAGACCGAUAGCGCACAAGUAGAGUGAUCGAAAGAUGAAAAGCACUUUGGAAAGAGAGUUAAAAAGUACGUGAAAUUGUUGAAAGGGAAGGGCUUGCAACCAGACUUGUCCGCAGUUGCUCAGCCGGUCUCCUGACCGGCGUACUCUUCUGCGGCCAGGCCAGCAUCAGUUCGGGCGGUCGGAUAAAGACCUAGGGAAUGUAGCUCCUCUCGGGGAGUGUUAUAGCCCUGGGUGGAAUGCGACCAGCCUGGACUGAGGAUCUCGCUUCGGCAAGGAUGCUGGCGUAAUGGUUGUAAGCCGCCCGUCUUGAAACACGGACCAAGGAGUCUAACAUCUAUGCGAGUGUUUGGGUGUCAAACCCAUACGCGUAAUGAAAGUGAACGGAGGUGGGAACCCGCAAGGGCGCACCAUCGGCCGAUCCUGAUGUCUUCGGAUGGAUUUGAGCAAGAGCAUAGCUGUUGGGACCCGAAAGAUGGUGAACUAUGCCUGAAUAGGGUGAAGCCAGAGGAAACUCUGGUGGAGGCUCGCAGCGGUUCUGACGUGCAAAUCGAUCG